rnacentral:rRNA from 1 species
AAAUUGAAGAGUUUGAUCAUGGCUCAGAUUGAACGCUGGCGGCAGGCCUAACACAUGCAAGUCGAACGGUAACAGGAAGCAGCUUGCUGCUUCGCUGACGAGUGGCGGACGGGUGAGUAAUGUCUGGGAAGCUGCCUGAUGGAGGGGGAUAACUACUGGAAACGGUGGCUAAUACCGCAUAACGUCGCAAGACCAAAGAGGGGGACCUUCGGGCCUCUUGCCAUCAGAUGUGCCCAGAUGGGAUUAGCUAGUUGGUGAGGUAACGGCUCACCAAGGCGACGAUCCCUAGCUGGUCUGAGAGGAUGACCAGCCACACUGGAACUGAGACACGGUCCAGACUCCUACGGGAGGCAGCAGUGGGGAAUAUUGCACAAUGGGCGCAAGCCUGAUGCAGCCAUGCCGCGUGUAUGAAGAAGGCCUUAGGGUUGUAAAGUACUUUCAGCGGGGAGGAAGGUGUUGUGGUUAAUAACCGCAGCAAUUGACGUUACCCGCAGAAGAAGCACCGGCUAACUCCGUGCCAGCAGCCGCGGUAAUACGGAGGGUGCAAGCGUUAAUCGGAAUUACUGGGCGUAAAGCGCACGCAGGCGGUCUGUCAAGUCGGAUGUGAAAUCCCCGGGCUCAACCUGGGAACUGCAUUCGAAACUGGCAGGCUUGAGUCUUGUAGAGGGGGGUAGAAUUCCAGGUGUAGCGGUGAAAUGCGUAGAGAUCUGGAGGAAUACCGGUGGCGAAGGCGGCCCCCUGGACAAAGACUGACGCUCAGGUGCGAAAGCGUGGGGAGCAAACAGGAUUAGAUACCCUGGUAGUCCACGCCGUAAACGAUGUCUACUUGGAGGUUGUGCCCUUGAGGCGUGGCUUCCGGAGCUAACGCGUUAAGUAGACCGCCUGGGGAGUACGGCCGCAAGGUUAAAACUCAAAUGAAUUGACGGGGGCCCGCACAAGCGGUGGAGCAUGUGGUUUAAUUCGAUGCAACGCGAAGAACCUUACCUGGUCUUGACAUCCACAGAACUUUCCAGAGAUGGAUUUGUGCCUUCGGGAACUGUGAGACAGGUGCUGCAUGGCUGUCGUCAGCUCGUGUUGUGAAAUGUUGGGUUAAGUCCCGCAACGAGCGCAACCCUUAUCCUUUGUUGCCAGCGGUCCGGCCGGGAACUCAAAGGAGACUGCCAGUGAUAAACUGGAGGAAGGUGGGGAUGACGUCAAGUCAUCAUGGCCCUUACGACCAGGGCUACACACGUGCUACAAUGGCGCAUACAAAGAGAAGCGACCUCGCGAGAGCAAGCGGACCUCAUAAAGUGCGUCGUAGUCCGGAUUGGAGUCUGCAACUCGACUCCAUGAAGUCGGAAUCGCUAGUAAUCGUGGAUCAGAAUGCCACGGUGAAUACGUUCCCGGGCCUUGUACACACCGCCCGUCACACCAUGGGAGUGGGUUGCAAAAGAAGUAGGUAGCUUAACCUUCGGGAGGGCGCUUACCACUUUGUGAUUCAUGACUGGGGUGAAGUCGUAACAAGGUAACCGUAGGGGAACCUGCGGUUGGAUCACCUCCUUACCUUAAAGAA